rnacentral:rRNA from 1 species
GUCGAGAAUCUUCUGCAAUGGACGAAAGUCUGACAGAGCGACGCCGCGUGGAGGAAGAAGGCCUUCGGGUUGUAAACUCCUGUCACAGGUUAAGAAGGGUACUCUGCCUAACAGGCGGGGUAUUCGGACAAAGGCCUGAGAGGAAGCCACGGCUAACUCUGUGCCAGCAGCCGCGGUAAGACAGAGGUGGCAAGCGUUGUUCGGAACCACUGGGCGUAAAGGGCGCGUAGGCGGUGACAUAAGUCGGUGGUGAAAUCCCUCGGCUCAACCGAGGCAUUGCUUCCGAUACUAUGUCGCUUGAGUGCGGGAGGGGAGAGUGGAACUUCUGGUGGAGCGGUGAAAUGCGUAGAUAUCAGAAGGAACGCCGGAGGCGAAGGCGGCUCUCUGGACCGUUACUGACGCUGAGGCGCGAAAGCUAGGGGAGCAAAUGGGAUUAGAUACCCGAGUAGUCC